UUCUUUAUUUUAAAAAUUUUAUUACUUAAGUAGUGUGAACAUAGUUUUAUAUAUUAAAAGAUUGUUUUGAGUAUGUUUUAAAUUUAAAAGGCUUGGCGGUGUUAUAUAUCCUUCCAGAGGAGUUUGCUUAUUAAUUUGAUAAUCCUCAAUUUAUACUUACUUUUUUUUGAAUAGAUUAUUAAAAUCAGUUUGUGUAUUGCUGUCAUCAGUUUAUUUUGUAAAAAUUUUAUAAGAAACUUAAUAAUAAAAGGGUUAUUAUGUCAAGUCAAAAUGCAGCUAAUAGAAAAGGUUUAUAAAGUGAACUACGGUUUAUAAUUUUUAAUCGGAUUAAAUUAUGUAAUUGUUUUAUAAAGUUGGAUUUGGUAGUAAUAUUAUAAUAGUGAGUUUUUAUGAAUUAGGUUUUAUAAUGCG
rnacentral:rRNA from 1 species